CAUAUGUGGGGGAGGGGGGAUUCGAAUCUGGGUCUCCCAGGUUUAACGCAUACGUAGCUACCACUAGAUUAUGCCCACCACUGCUGCAAGAAUCUGAUGUUGAUUCAUUUGAAACACCAUUAUAGUUGCUGGAUUCCUAGUAGAUGAUUGCUUCUUGAAUUUCCAGCUGCUAAUACUUGUAUUGCCAACAUUUGCAUGCCUCAAACUUCACAGGAAAACUGUUUUUCUGAUCACACAAGUUCUGCAGUUUCUCUCUCUUCCCCUCCCUUAGCAGUUUUGUUUUCUCCUUUUCAUCUAUUUCUUGGUUCUCAAAGUCGGAAGCUCAACUGUGAGAGACUGCACAGAACUAAUUCUCUUUUCCAGUUAAAUUAUAAAAAUAGUAAGAAUAACAUAUUGCUCUUUCAAAAAUUCCAACUAUAUGUAUAUAUAUUUUUCUCCCCAAGUCUUUUCAAGCAGUUUACAGAACAACGUUGUCUUUCUGUCUUUUUUUGCCGUUGGAUUCUAGAACCAUGAUAGGCUCUAGUACCAAAUGGAAUCUCUGUUAAGGGUUUGUUUGCAUUGGAAAGACAGUUCCCUGUGUUUACAGCAGGUUAACAUUGUUGUAAAGAUGCUUAAUAGCUGUCAGUUUUUGGUCCUUUAUAUGAACCAGUUGUCAGCUUUUGGUUGCAUUUGGAAACAUACUUGGCUAUGUUGGUUG
rnacentral:misc_RNA from 1 species